rnacentral:rRNA from 1 species
UACGUAGGUGGCAAGCGUUGUCCGGAUUUAUUGGGCGUAAAGCGCGCGCAGGCGGUCCUUUAAGUCUGAUGUGAAAGCCCACGGCUCAACCGUGGAGGGUCAUUGGAAACUGGGGGACUUGAGUGCAGAAGAGGAAAGUGGAAUUCCACGUGUAGCGGUGAAAUGCGUAGAGAUGUGGAGGAACACCAGUGGCGAAGGCGACUUUCUGGUCUGUAACUGACGCUGAGGCGCGAAAGCGUGGGGAGCAAACAGG